UUUGGGGAUGAAAAUGAUCUACUGUCUCCAA
rnacentral:piRNA from 1 species